rnacentral:rRNA from 1 species
UACGAAGGGGGCUAGCGUUGCUCGGAAUCACUGGGCGUAAAGGGUGCGUAGGCGGGUCUUUAAGUCAGGGGUGAAAUCCUGGAGCUCAACUCCAGAACUGCCUUUGAUACUGAGGAUCUUGAGUUCGGGAGAGGUGAGUGGAACUGCGAGUGUAGAGGUGAAAUUCGUAGAUAUUCGCAAGAACACCAGUGGCGAAGGCGGCUGAUUGGUCCGGUUCUGACGCUGAGGCGCGAAAGCGUGGGGAGCAAACAGG